GGAUUAGAUACCCUGGUAGUCCACGCCGUAAACGAUGCUAACUCGUUUUUGGGGUUUCGGCUUCAGAGACUAAGCGAAAGUGAUAAGUUAGCCACCUGGGGAGUACGUUCGCAAGAAUGAAACUCAAAGGAAUUGACGGGGGCCCGCACAAGCGGUGGAUUAUGUGGUUUAAUUCGAUGAUACGCGAGGAACCUUACCAAGACUUAAAUGGGAAAUGACAGAUUUAGAAAUAGAUCCUUCUUCGGACAUUUUUCAAGGUGCUGCAUGGUUGUCGUCAGCUCGUGCCG
rnacentral:rRNA from 1 species